GGGAAAGGCAAGAGGCGCUCCAGCCUAGCAACUCCCCAGGCUGAGGACUUGGAUAAGUAAAGAGAACAAAUGCCUGACCCACAGAGGACUAUGUACAUGCUCACUGCCUUAGGACAUCUACCAGUACCGGUGUUCAGCACGGUGCGAGAGUGGCACAACACGAUUUAAUCAGGAAUGGGAGGAAGACCAGAGUUAGUCUGAGAAGGUGAUAUUGGUUUCCUGAGGGUAACAAAGGGAGCAGAUGCUGCAAAUGUCUGGGUACGGAUCUGGCCCUCAUCCUGCUAUGCUGUGAACUGCAAUGAUGCCAACAGAAUUAAUACUGGAGUGGCAUGGGACAGUGAGUGGAAGAAGUAAGACAGCCUUCCCCAGAAACCCUGUGCAAAGAAUUGCAGAGUACCUCCAUGGAAGUUUCCUCGAGAUCUCUGUGGAGGAUUCCUGGACCAUCCCUGUGCACAUACACAGUAUUUUCCAGGAGGGCAGCCUCUGGGAAGCAGAUAUCCAGCUUUUUUCUUCAGCUUAAACAUAAAAUUUAAGAGCAUGUAACCCCCUGCCAUCUGACUGGAAUUUCAUACUCCCCAAAUGUGCCUUCCCCAGCAUCGCGCUCAACCACCAUAGAAUCAUAGAAUAUCUGAGUUGGAAGGGACCUCAGGAGAUCAUCUAGUCCAACCUCAUGCUGUCUUAUACAUAGAGCUCUACCAAAUUCACAGCCGUGAAAAACGUUUGACCAUGAAAUCUGAUCUACCCUGUGAUACCUGCCUGCUGGGGGGCACCCGAUCAGGGGCUCCUACCAUGCACCGGGCUCCAGCUGCUAGUACUGGGGAGGGAUGGGGACUAUCUCUUCCCCUGCAGGGGCCGCUCCUGGAGAUGGGUCAGACCCACCUCCAAGAAUCUCUCCUGGCUGUAGGAAGCUCCGUGGCUGCUGGCUGGGAGCCCAGUUCUGAAGUCGGGGCCAAAGUGAGGGUGUCUGUCAGUUCCCGACCCAGGCGGGAGGCUACAGCUCCAGCUGUCCCACUACUCCACCCUGCAUGCAGAGAGGUUGUUGCCCCAGCUGUCAAACUCCCUCAAGACCCCCAUGCGGAGAGGCUGCAGCUUCAGCUUUCUGUUCCCAACCCAGGCGGGAGGCUGCUGGGAAAACUGGACCUAUCCCCAUACCCUGCGACUCUCACUUCUUGUUUAUGCUGAGAUCACAGAUCUGGGAAAAGGAACACAAGUCAGUUGAGCCUCCAUGAAUUGUUAUUGUGGGAGGCAUAUUUCUUCGGCUGUGCUCUGUUCCACAGGCUGGGACAUGGAGUUGUGGCCUUGUUUUGUUUGUUUUUUUUGCUUCUUUUUGUUUUUUUUUCCCCCUCUACUGGGCUUCACUUCAAUGAGUGCUCAAAAGGCAAUUCAAUGUUACGUUGCUGCCUAAAGGGGCAAAACCUCAGUUAAGACUGCAAUUCCCUUUCCCCAGGGCUCCCCCCAGCCAUAACUUUAAAUCUUAGUUUUGGCACUAAGUAUAAAACUCUAUAAAGAAAAAUGUGUUUUCUAGUCAUAAUACUGUACAUGUAGGUGCAAAACUAUUCCCUGGCUCUUAAAAAGCAUGCUAGGUUGGAUUCAUCACUAUGACUAAGGGGGCGCUUUUUCUAAAAUGGGAAUGAAUAUAAAAUGGAGGUGGUGUUGGAUUUGCAAAACCUAAUCAAUUGCAGUUCUAUAACCAUGGAUGAGUGGGUUCAGGUUUACACAUAGGUUUGGCCUAUGUGUAAUAACUGCCUUUUGCUUUCACUAGAAUUUGAAAGGUGCUGAACUAGUUUUAGAGGUAAUUUUUGAGUUUCUGUAGUCCUAGAACGCUAGUCACAGAAGCAGAGACAGAGGUGAGAAUUUCUUCCCCACAAGAUCCUAGCGCCUUUUUUAUUGUAACGAGCAUGUAUGCUGCAAGGUUCACCUGCCUGUUUCUGCUUAUUUUAUAUCAAUGCUGCCCUGAACGCCCUGGGUGGUGGGGUUUUUUUACAAUCCAUGUGUUUCUGCCAAUGUAUCUGUGUCCUGAAAUGCAGCACUUCUUGCUAUUCCAGUCCUGAGUCAGGCUUGUUUUCCUCCUGUGUCUAUGAAUGAUUCACUCUAUUUUACUUCGGAGAGGAGCAUCAUAUCAGACAUAAUGAAGGUUUGCUGUAUCUAGUUAUUUCCUUCUGUCACCCUGUCUCUCAUGCUCUUUGUGUCAGCCGAGGCAAAGGCAGGAUUCACAUUUGCUUCCUGUGCAGCUGGAGAUGGGGAUCUCAGACUCUGUUUAACAUGCAGCCUACAUUUAACAGGGGAUCUUGCAUCAGCUCUGAAAGAUGAAGCUUUGCUAAAUGGAGCCAAUUUUUAAUAAACUUGCAAAUAAAGUGUGAGAGAGAAAGCAAAGGGGGGGGUGGGGUACAGAGAGAGGAAGUGAUUUCCCGGUGAUUAACUGGUGGACUCUCUUUGACAUGCAGGUCUCAGUGAAUGUGCUUGUUGAAAGUUUAGUGAUGGAGAUAGCCAUGGGCAAGAGGUUGCCUCCCCUGAGAUCCCAUUAGGUGUGCUAACAGUCUGAAAGACAAAGCUGUCAGAUUGUUCUGAUUUACUUCUCCUCUUGCAGCCGGGAGAUAAAAGUUCACGUAUCUUGUAGCAAAGCUGGCAAUGCAGCACCUUGCAGCAACAGUAUGUUAACCCCCGCCCCACAAAGGUACAAGUGACUUGUGCCAGGCAGAGAGAGAGUGAAAAAUAAACAAAACAAAACAGCCUGAUUUGCUAUGCUGAGAAUUUUCCCAAUGCAUUAGAUCCACUUGCUUACAGGGCCACCUGUGCUUCUGUUGCUCAACAGGCUACACACGCAUAUUCCAAAAAGGGAUGGUUUACAGAUAAAAUCUGAAUAUGAACAAAUAGUAUAAUAUAUAAAUAUGUGAGAUAGGCUUAUAAACUGAGUCUAUGAAAUUCCUUAUACUUGGGUUAUAUAGGGAGAACAUUUGGCCCCUGCUUGAGAAGUCUAGAUUCAAUUUCCUCCUCU